AGAAAUACACAGGAUAUUGAAAGAAACACUGAGAUUACAAAGUCCUUAAGGUGAAUCGGUUUUUUUAUAUGCUUUAUUCUUUUUAUUUUGUUUUUAAGAAAUAAUACGAAAAAGGGUGAGGGGUUUACCUCCAAAACUUUACCGAUGAAGCCCAUGUUCGCCGCGCUCAAAUCGAAGGUCCGGUGGAGGGCUGAAGCUCGUGGCGAAGGCGUGUUGGGCGGCGGUGCGAGGACGCUAGCGGUGAAACCCUAGCAGAGCACCAGAGAAGCCUUUGUUUUUUUAUUUUUUUUCUUUCCUUCGGUUUCAAAAGAAUUUGAAGGGCAAAAUCUGUUUUAAAUAACAGACCAAAAUGACGUCGUUUUAGCUAGGUGUGACCUGCGCGGUGACCCGACCCGAAGGGGAGGAUCCGCGCGCUCUGAUGUUAC
rnacentral:lncRNA from 1 species